AAGACUCCAACUGCCAUCAGGUAAGAUGGGAGUUCUAGUCAAGUAAAAUUUGAAAAGCCACAGGUGAGAUACCCAUGUGGUCCUUAUUUAGUAUAUGUGAGAGAUAUUCCUGGGAAAGGCUGGCCACUUAUACAACACCAAAAAAGAGGACAAGGGAAAUCACAUAUUUACAUAAACUUGGCAUAUUCUAAUUUAUAUUCAGUAUUCCUGAAGGAGCGUCUCCACCCCCAUCGUUCAGCCUGGACACUGAGGUCCAGCUCUGAGGGCCUUCUGGCAGUUCCUUCACUGUGAGAAGUGAAGUUACAGUGAACCAGGCAGAGGGCCUUCUCGGUAGUGGUGCCCGCCCUGUGAAACGCCCUCCCAUCAGAUGUCAAGGAAAUAAACAACUAUCUGACUUUUAGAAGACAUCUGAAGGCAAUCCUGUUUAGGGAAGUUUUUAAUGUCUGAUGUUUUAUUGUAUUUUUAAUAUUUUGUUGGAAGCUGCCCAGAGUGACUAGGGAAACCCAGCCAGAUGGGUGGGGAUAUAAAUUAUUAUUAUGGAUCAGCUCAUUUUUUGAAAGAAUUACUGUAUAUUAAAUAGAAAUUCCCACUAUGGUGAGAUGUAAAAGUAAUCAGGUGACUUGUGUGACUGCUCAGUUUGCUCUCCAAGUAGGUAAAAAAGGUAAAUGACCCUUGGACAGUUAAGUCCAGUCAAAGGCAACAAUGGGGUGCAGAGCUCAUCUCACUUUUCAGGCCAAGGGAGCUGGCAUUUGUCCACAGACACCUUUCCCGGUCAUGUGGCCAGCAUGACUAAACCGCUACUGGUGCAACGGAACACCGUGAUGGAAACCAGGGCACAUGGAAAUGCCGUUUACCUUCCCACCAUAGUGGUACUUAUUUAUCUACUUGCACUGGUGUGCUUUCGAACUGCUAGGUUGGCAGGAGCUGGGACUGAGCAACGGAAGCUCAUCCCAUUGCGCUGAUUCGAACUGCCAACUUUGACCGGCAGUCCCAAGAGGCUCAGUGAUUUAGACUGCAGUGCCACCCAUUCUGUUGACAAGCAAAUUCAAGGACCCUGCUCUCUUUCCUUGUCUGGGCAGGCCCUCAAGCAGAGUUCAAAUAGAGGAGAAACAGACCAGACAAGAAAGGAGGAUGAGUGGCGUUAUAUGUCAGGGAUGUGUAUACCUGUGAAGAGAUCCAAGAUUUAGAACCUCAAAGCCAAAGUGAGAGCAUUUGGGUCAAAAUUAAGGGAGAGAAGAAUAACAGUGACCUCAUUGUGGGAGUUUACUAUAGAUCCCCAAGCCAAACGGAGGACAUAGAUGAUGCCUUCCUGGAACAGAUGACCAAGCAUGCAAAAGGAAGGGAGAUAGUAGUAAUGGGGGACUUCAGUUACCUGGAUAUUUGUUGGAUGUCCAACUCAGCCAAGAGCAUAAGGUCAAACAGAUUCCUCACUGGCCUUGCAGACAACUUCAUUGUCCAGAAAGUGGGAGACGCAACAAGAGGAACAGCCAUUUUAGAUCUGGUCCUAACCAAUGUUGAUGACCUGGUUAGUGGGGUAGAAGUGGAAGGAUCAUUAGGCGUGAGUGAUCAUGCUCUUCUGAAGUUUACUAUACAGCGGAAAGGAGCAGCCAAGCAUACUAGGACUCAAUUUCUUGACUUUAAGAAAGCCGACUUCAUAAAACUUAGGGAAGUGCUGGGUGAGAUCCCAUGGACAGUAAUACUAAAAGGAAAGGGAGUUCAUGAUGGCUGGGAGUUUGUUAAGAGGGAGAUAGUAAAAGCACAACUUCAGGCAACACCAAUGAGACGGAAACAUGGAAGGUGCCUAAAGAAGCCAGGGUGGCUAUCUAAAGAACUUUUAACUGAGUUAAGAUUUAAAAAGGAUGUGUACAAAAAUGGAAAAGGGGAAACCACCAAAGAGGAAUUCAAACAAAUAGCCAGCACGUGUAGACACAAAGUCAGAAAAGCUAAAGCACAGAAUGAACUCAGGCUUGCUAGAGAGGUUAAAAGCAACAAAAAGGCUUUUAUGGGUAUGUUCAGUAGCAAAAGGAAGAACAAAGAAACAGUGGGGUCACUCAGAGGAGAAGAUGGUGAAAUGCAAACAGGGGACACAGAAAGGGCUGAACUCCUCAAUGCCUUCUUUGCCUCAGUCUUCUCCGAUAAAGAAAACAAUGCCCGACCUGAAGAAUUUGGAGCAAAUGAUUCAGCAGAGGAAACACAGCCCAGAAUAACUAAGGAGAUAGUACAAGAAUACUUGGCUAGUUUAGAUGUAUUCAAGUCUCCAGGGCCAGAUGAACUGCAUCCAAGAGUAUUAAAAGAACUGGCAGAUGUGAUCUCAGAACCACUGGCAGUCAUCUUUGAGAAUUCCUGGAGAACAGGCGAAGUCCCGGCAGACUGGAGGAGGGCAAAUGUUGUCCCUAUUUUCAAAAAGGGGAAAAGAGAGGACCCAAAUAAUUACCGCCCAGUCAGUCUGACAUCAAUACCAGGGAAGAUUCUGGAGCAGAUCAUUAAGCAAACAGUCUGUGAGCACCUAGAAAGGAAUGCUGUGAUCACCAAUAGUCAGCAUGGGUUUCUGAAAAAUAAGUCAUGUCAGACUAACCUGAUCUCGUUUUUUUUGACAGAAUUACAAGCCUGGUAGAUGAAGGGAACGCAGUGGAUGUAGCCUACCUUGAUUUCAGCAAGGCAUUUGACAAGGUGCCCCAUGAUAUUCUUGUAAAGAAGCUGGUAAAAUGCAGUCUUGACUAUGCUACCACUCAGUGGAUUUGUAACUGGCUGACUGACCGAACCCAAAGGGUGCUCAUCAAUGGUUCCUCUUCAUCCUGGAGAAGAGUGACUAGUGGGGUGCCACAGGGUUCUGUCUUGGGCCCGGUCUUAUUCAACAUCUUUAUCAACGACUUAGAUGAUGGACUCAAGGGCAUCCUGAUCAAAUUUGCAGAUGACACCAAACUGGGAGGGGUGGCUAACACCCCAGAGGACAGGAUCACACUUCAAAAUGACCUUGACAGAUUAGAGAACUGGGCCAAAACAAACAAGAUGAAUUUUAACAGGGAGAAAUGUAAAGUAUUGCACUUGGGCAAAAAAAAAAUGAGAGGCACAAAUACAAGAUGGGUGACACCUGGCUUGAGAGCAGUACAUGUGAAAAGGAUCUAGGAGUCUUGGUUGACCACAAACUUGACAUGAGCCAACAGUGUGACGUGGCAGCUAAAAAAGCCAAUGCAAUUCUGGGCUGCAUCAAUAGGAGUAUAGCAUCUAGAUCAAGGGAAGUAAUAGUGCCACUGUAUUCUGCUCUGGUCAGACCUCACCUGGAGUACUGUGUCCAGUUCUGGGCACCACAGUUCAAGAAGGACACUGACAAACUGGAACGUGUCCAGAGGAGGGCAACCAAAAUGGUCAAAGGCCUGGAAACGAUGCCUUAUGAGGAACGGCUAAGGGAGCUGGGCAUGUUUAGCCUGGAGAAGAGGAGGUUAAGGGGUGAUAUGAUAGCCAUGUUCAAAUAUAUAAAAGGAUGUCACAUAGAGGAGGGAGAAAGGUUGUUUUCUGCUGCUCCAGAGAAGUGGACACGGAGCAAUGGAUCCAAACUACAAGAAAGAAGAUUCCACCCAAACAUUAGGAAGAACUUCCUGACAGUAAGAGCUGUUUGACAGUGGAAUUUGCUGCCAAGGAGUGUGGUGAAGUCUCCUUCUUUGGAGGUCUUUAAGCAGAGGCUUGACAACCAUAUGUCAGGAGUGCUCUGAUGGUGUUUCCUGCUUGGCAGGGGGUUGGACUCGAUGGCCCUUGUGGUCUCUUCCAACUCUAUGAUUCUAUGAUUCUAUGAUUGUGUAAAGUAGGACACAUCUUAUUUUGCUCUGGACAUCCCUUCACAUACAAUGGAAAGCUAUUCUUGUGGGCUGUCCAACCCAAGCAAUUUCUUGUGAGCUGUGUUGAUGGCUGGGAGUGACCACAUGUCUAAGCAACCUAUGCAUGUAUACAGCAGCAGUGAGCAUUUUAAGAGGCCAAAUGCCAUGUAUAUUGGGCAUGAACACAGCCCAACAUUUUUUUUAACAAAAAGACCCAUGGAAACCUCCACUUUAUGCAGCUGGAAUACUGCUAUAAAACAUCAACUCACUUUAUCAAAAAGGAAUAGGAAAUGUACUGUAGUUCCUACUCAAACCCCAAACUGACAGAUUCUGCUUUUUGUCUAGGUGUCAGCUCUUCAAAUACAAAAAGGCCAGGCUCACUCCCUCCUCACUCACCCCUCUUUCCCUAGGUGCUGCACUAGCCCUAGCCCUACUGAGCUUGCAAUAUAGCUAGCUACUACCCAGAAGUCAUUCUCAUCCAUCACUCUGGCUAACAAUGACAGUCUCCUGCCGGACUGGUUCUUACUGCUCUGGCUCCGUUGAUGUCACUGACAAUAGACAGACACAUUUGUCAUAAUUAUGGGGCGGGGGAAACCUCCAUUAAUUGGAAAGCAUGUUGCUUGGCCUUAAGUCAGCACAGCUAUCGAU